CGCAGGGCCACGUCUGCGGGUUCCGAGAGCGCCCGGGUGGUACCAGGCGCGCCGCGAGGCAGCUUCUCCGCUGGGCGCGGGCGAGGGCGAGUCUUCCGGCCGAGACAUGGAUUUAGAUGCUAUUACAAAACACUCAGCAUUACAUGCCAAGCCCAGUGGACUCAUUCUUCAAUAUGGGACUGCUGGAUUUCGAACAAAAGCAGAACAUCUUGAUCAUGUCAUGUUUCGCAUGGGAUUAUUAGCUGUUCUGCGGUCAAAACAGACAAAAUCUACAAUAGGAGUCAUGGUAACAGCAUCACACAAUCCUGAGGAAGACAAUGGUGUCAAAUUGGUGGAUCCUUUGGGUGAAAUGCUGGCACCUUCCUGGGAGGAACACGCUACCUGUUUGGCAAAUGCUGAGGAGCAAGAUGUGCAGAGAGUGCUGCUGGACAUCAGCGAGAAAGCUGCCGUGGAUCUGCAGCAAGACGCCUUCGUCGUGAUUGGUAGAGAUACCAGGCCCAGCAGUGAGAAACUUUCGCAAUCUGUAAUAGAUGGCAUCACUGUUUCAGGAGGUCAAUUCCAUGAUUAUGGCUUGCUGACAACGCCGCAGCUGCACUACAUGGUGUACUGCCGGAAUACCCAGGGCCAGUAUGGAAAGGCAACCACAGAAGGCUACUACCAGAAGCUCUCCAAGGCCUUUGUGGAGCUUACCAAACAGGCUUUCUGCAGUGGUGACGAAUGCCUGUUACUUAAGGUUGACUGUGCAAAUGGCAUAGGGGCCCUGAAGCUCAGAGAAAUGAAAAACUACUUCUCCCGGGGGCUGUCAAUUCAGUUGUUUAACGUUGGGACUACAGGGAAACUCAAUCAUUUAUGUGGGGCUGACUUUGUGAAAAGUCAUCAGAAACCUCCGCAAGGAAUAGAAAUGAAACCCAAUGAAAGAUGCUGUUCCUUUGAUGGAGAUGCAGACAGAAUUAUUUAUUACUACUAUGAUGCAGAUGGCCACUUUCAUCUCAUUGAUGGAGACAAGAUAGCAACACUCAUUAGUAGUUUCCUUAAAGAGCUCCUGUUGGAGAUUGGAGAAAGUCUGAAUAUUGGCGUUGUACAAACUGCAUAUGCAAAUGGAAGCUCAACACGGUAUCUUGAAGAAGUUAUGAAGGUCCCAGUCUAUUGUACUAAAACUGGUGUAAAACAUUUGCAUCAUAAGGCUCAGGAGUUUGAUAUUGGAAUUUAUUUUGAAGCAAAUGGGCAUGGCACAGUGUUGUUUAGUAAAACUGCUGAAAUGAAGAUAAAACAGCUAGCGUUAGCAGAAGAAUUAGAAGAUAAGAAAAGGAAAGCUGCUAAGAUGCUUGAAAACAUUAUUGAUUUGUUUAACCAGGCAGCCGGUGAUGCUAUUUCUGACAUGCUGGUGAUCGAGGCAAUCUUGGCUCUGAAAGGGCUGACUAUACAACAGUGGGAUGCUCUCUAUACGGAUCUUCCAAACCGACAGCUCAAAGUUAAGGUUGCAGACAGGCAAGUUAUUAGCACCACGGAUGCUGAAAGGAAAGCAGUCACACCCCCAGGACUACAGGAGGCAAUCGACAACCUGGUGAAGAAGUACAAGCUUUCCCGAGCUUUCGUCCGGCCCUCUGGUACAGAAGAUAUAGUCCGAGUAUACGCAGAAGCAGACUCACAAGAAAGUGCAGACAGCCUGGCACAUGAAGUGAGCUUGGCGGUAUUUCAGCUGGCUGGAGGGGUUGGAGAAAGUCCCCAACCAGGUUUAUGAAGACAAUUUUUACAUUCUUGAGAGACUGGAUUUUUGAAAGGUUUUUAUAGAACGGUAAAGCCAUUAUUGUGACGGUUCAAACACAUCUAUAACCAUAAUGUUUACUGCACCUUAAUGGAUUGUUUCUAGGUCUGAUUGUUUUUCUUAAACACUACCAGAAUAAUUCCUUACAUUCAUUAAAUUCGUUGUUGUUUUUUCUUUUAAAUGAAACUUACCUCUAGUUUCAGUCUCACUAAUGUAAGAUAUUGGGGCUUACAUAUAUGAUUCAAUUAACUUUAUAAUGUAUGCUGGGAAGAAAUCAUGAGGGCUGCUGGAAAUUAAAUCUUAUUAGCAACAUGUUGGGAUGUCUUUUCUGUAGCCAUUACCUAACCAGGAUGUUGUUUGCAGUCAACUGUUCUCCAGCAAAGUCUUCAGAGUGAUUUUUAAGUGACUUACCUCUUCAGUUACCAUCGUCAGGAGCUCAGAGGUGGAAUAUGGAGGCUGCACAUCUCUGUACUGAGGUGGACGUGCUACAUGUAAAGGGAUCAUGUCCCAGGCUUCAGGCUUCAGUUAUUCCUUAUUCCUCUUAGUGAAGGUAUGUGGGAGAAAGCUAAUUGUAAUGCAUCACCAAACCUCUGGCACUAAAAUGUGGUUAAUAACAGAAAGGAAAACUCCCCAACCAAUCUAAAUUAAACCAAUCUUGACGCCAAUAGAAAAAAAUGUGCAGUGUGUAUUUUGCAGGUUUAAGACAACUCAGGACAGUAAAAACAAUGAACUAUAUAUGCAUAUAUAGAUCUCUCUUAGGCACCAUAAUCAAUAUGAGCCAACAAUAUUUAUAUGUGAUCCAGGCCACAUUCAGACGUUUGCUCUUAUUUACAAAUACUUAAAUUAAAUACAACCUGAAAUGUGUUUUGUUACAUACAAAAAAAAAAAAAGAAACUAUAGAACUCAGAGUAAUGUUUUGUUUUAAAUGAUAACAUUUACAUUUAAACUAAAUGGAACCACUUGUGGUGCUCAAGUUUUUAUCACUCCUUCUAGAAAAUCUUUUUCUACCAUCUCUUCUAUUUUUUGCCUGGCUUUGCUGGAAAAUGGUUUGUGGCUUUCCAGUUUCAUGUCCGUGUUAGGGAAAGUGUUUGAGUAGAGGACAGGGCUCCCUGAGUGUCCCACACAUCGGCUAGUGACUUUGCUGUUGAAGACUUGACUGAGCACAUUGAAGAAUGGCAGGAGCUGCUCAAGACUGCGCACAGUACAGACGUUUGUAGAAUGUGGUUUAGGAGCUACUGCCUGAGUAGGGAACCCCAGAAGACUGGAAAAUUUCUGAGCACUCAAAGCACAUUCUGAAGACUAGAACUCAAAAUCCCCAAAUUGUACAAUUUACUUUUUAAAUUUUUGAAGGCAAAAUAAAAGAUUUGUAACAAAGGCUCACUGAUGGCAUGCUAAAUUCAUUACAACUGACCCUUGAACAACUACAGGUUUAAACUAUAUGUGUAUACUUAUAUACAGAUUUUUUCAAUAAAUGCUGUAAAUUUAUUUUC